GAUGAACGCUGGCGGCGUGCCUAAUACAUGCAAGUCGAGCGAACGGACGAGAAGCUUGCUUCUCUGAUGUUAGCGGCGGACGGGUGAGUAACACGUGGAUAACCUACCUAUAAGACUGGGAUAACUUCGGGAAACCGGAGCUAAUACCGGAUGAUAUUUUGAACCGCAUGGUUCAAAAGUGAAAGACGGUCUUGCUGUCACUUAUAGAUGGAUCCGCGCUGCAUUAGCUAGUUGGUAAGGUAAUGGCUUACCAAGGCAACGAUGCAUAGCCGACCUGAGAGAGUGAUCGGCCACACUGGAACUGAGACACGAUCCAGACUCCUACGGGAGGCAGCAGUAGGGAAUCUUCCGCAAUGGGCGAAAGCCUGACGGAGCAACGCCGCGUGAGUGAUGAAGGUCUUCGGAUCGUAAAACUCUGUUAUUAGGGAAGAACAUAUGUGUAAGUAACUGUGCACAUCUUGACGGUACCUAAUCAGAAAGCCACGGCUAACUACGUG
rnacentral:rRNA from 1 species